rnacentral:rRNA from 1 species
AGGCAUGCAAGUCGGGGGAUCUCCCGCAAGGGGGGGAACCGGCGUAAGGGGCAGUAAGGCGUGGGGACCUACCCCGGGGUCCGGCAUAGCCGUCCGAGAGGGCGGGUAAUUCCGGAUGACCUCGGAAGAGCAAAGAUUCAUCGCCCCGGGAGGGGCCCACGUGAUAUUACCUAGUUGGCGGGGUAGCGGCCCACCAAGGGGACGAUGUCUAGCGGGUGUGAGAGCACGACCCGCGCCACUGGCACUGAGACACUGGCCAGACACCUACGGGUGGCUGCAGUCGAGGAUCUUCGGCAAUGGGCGCAAGCCUGACCGAGCGACGCCGCGUGUGCGAUGAAGGCCUUCGGGUUGUAAAGCACUGUCGAGGGGGAGAAGCGCCCGAAAGGGCUUGAUCUAUCCCUGGAGGAAGCACGGGCUAAGUUCGUGCCAGCAGCCGCGGUAAGACGAACCGUGCGAACGUUGUUCGGAAUCACUGGGCUUAAAGGGCGCGUAGGCGGGCCUCCAAGUCCGGGGUGAAAUCCUCCCGCCCAACGGGAGAAGAGCCUCGGAGACUGGGGGCCUCGAGGGAGGUAGGGGCAAGCGGAACUGUGGGUGGAGCGGUGAAAUGCAUUGAGAUCCACAGGAACUCCGGUGGCGAAGGCGGCUUGCUGGACCUCUUCUGACGCUGAGGCGCGAAAGCCAGGGGAGCGAACGGGAUUAGAUACCCCGGUAGUCCUGGCCCUAAACGUUGGGGACUAGGUAGUAGGCCGGACAUGGGCUUACUGCCGGAGCGAAAGUGCUAAGUCCCCCGCCUGGGGAGUAUGGUCGCAAGGCUGAAACUCAAAGGAAUUGACGGGGGCUCACACAAGCGGUGGAGCAUGUGGCUCAAUUCGAGGCUACGCGAAGAACCUUAUCCCGGGCUUGACAUGUGCGAAAGCGCCAGCAG